CUGCAGUGAUUUACAUCAUUGAUUUAUUUGUUUUCUCAUCUAUUACAGUGGCUCUAAAAGUGAUAACCAAGUCAACUAUGAAUCGAUGUAUAGGGGCCUGCUUCAUCGCACAUGUUGUAAAAUUUUGUAUAACACAGGUUUUUAGUUAAGACAUUGAGAUAGUUUGAAUAUUUUUUUGAUUGUUCACACGAUAUUCAAACUAAAAAUAGUGUUCAUUCAAUUUUCUGUUAUGUUUAAUCUCAAUUAUCCAUAAACGCAUCCAUGCUACA